rnacentral:rRNA from 1 species
CGGUUGUUCCCGUCUCCGUUGGUGACCAGCGGAGGGAUCAUUACAGAGUUGCAAAACUCCCUAAACCAUUGUGAACGUUACCUAUACCGUUGCUUCGGCGGGCGGCCCCGGGGUUUACCCCCCGGGCGCCCCUGGGCCCCACCGCGGGCGCCCGCCGGAGGUCACCAAACUCUUGAUAAUUUAUGGCCUCUCUGAGUCUUCUGUACUGAAUAAGUCAAAACUUUCAACAACGGAUCUCUUGGUUCUGGCAUCGAUGAAGAACGCAGCGAAAUGCGAUAAGUAAUGUGAAUUGCAGAAUUCAGUGAAUCAUCGAAUCUUUGAACGCACAUUGCGCCCGCCAGCAUUCUGGCGGGCAUGCCUGUUCGAGCGUCAUUUCAACCAUCAAGCCCCCGGGCUUGUGUUGGGGACCUGCGGCUGCCGCAGGCCCUGAAAAGCAGUGGCGGGCUCGCUGUCGCACCGAGCGUAGUAGCAUACAUCUCGCUCUGGUCGCGCCGCGGGUUCCGGCCGUUAAACCACCUUUUAACCCAAGGUUGACCUCGGAUCAGGUAGGAAGACCCGCUGAACUUAAGCAUAUCAAUAAGCGGAGGAA